GGCCCCGUAGCUCAGCGGUUAGAGCAGGCGACUCAUAAUCGCUCGGUCCCUGGUUCGAGUCCAGGCGGGGCUA
rnacentral:tRNA from 1 species